rnacentral:misc_RNA from 1 species
ACAAAUCCUGAUUUAGGUUUUCCUGCUACCAGCGGAAAUGGAACAGAUAUAACAACUAUAUCACUCUCUUCAUUUGGAUUGUAGCUACCAGCUGAUUUAUAUUUGUCAAAGUCGACAAAUCCGAUGUCUCCUUUGUCAGUAAUAGUUGAGUAUUCAUCAUCCGACUUAUAAGAAAUUGUGCCCAUGAGUAAUUAAGAUGAAUUUCAAGAAGAAUCUCGAUUUUGGUCUUUAAAAGAGAGAAUAGAGAAGGGUUUUAA